CUUCCCCUCCCUCCUUCUAUAAAUAGGAAGUUCCAUUCCCAAGGCAAAGGGGGGAGCUCUCUCAUUGUUUUCCUUUUGAGGAUCUGUCGAGCUGAGAAUUCAAAGAGAGAGAGAGAGGAAUAUGUGAAGGGACCUCUCGUAUUGGAUGGUGAGAGGGGAUUUUGAUUUGAAGAAGAGAGAGAGAGGAAACUUUUUCAGGCAGGGAAAGGGUUUCUGUGGAGAGAGAACAAAGGGAGAGAGGUUGAGGGAGAAGGGAAGUCUGUAGAGGGGUUUUUCGAACCAGAAGAAGGGAAAAGAAAAAAGAAAAGACGAUUCCAAGAGGGAAGACCGAGCAGAGGCUGACAAAAGGGAGUGGUCAUCGAUGCACAAGGAACGCCUACAACACUAACUCAUUGUCUUCUUUGCUAUUGCUAAUCUCAGUAGAGGUUUCAAUCUAAUAUCCUCACCCAUGUGCCUUAUUUCAUUGUUAAAUACAUUUGAGAGCUUUUGUUCCUGGUGUAGCAGGGUCGUUCCAUCAACUAAAGGUACAUAAAGCCACUCCAUCUUGCUAAGAUCCAAGGCUGAUAUUCCCUUCUUAUUACAAAAGGGAUUUCUUUAUGUUUUGUAAGAAGAGAGGAAAAAAUGAUAAGGUUUUUGUAUGAGAGAAGAAGCAAGACAGGGCUUUUGAAAAAGGAAGAAGAUUUUGCAACUAUCUGGUGAAUUCUGUACAUUUUGUACGUAGGCCAAAGAGUGGAACCACUUAAAAUUGUUUGUUUCUUGGUGUGUUA